GACGAACGCUGGCGGCGUGCUUAACACAUGCAAGUCGUACGGUAAGGCCCUUUCGGGGGUACACGAGUGGCGAACGGGUGAGUAACACGUGAGUAACCUGCCCACAACUUUGGGAUAACGCUAGGAAACUGGUGCUAAUACUGGAUAUGUGCUCCUGCUGCAUGGUGGGGGUUGGAAAGCUCCGGCGGUUGUGGAUGGACUCGCGGCCUAUCAGCUUGUUGGUGGGGUAGUGGCCUACCAAGGCGGCGACGGGUAGCCGGCCUGAGAGGGUUGACCGGCCACAUUGGGACUGAGAUACGGGCCCAG
rnacentral:rRNA from 1 species